rnacentral:rRNA from 1 species
UACGAAGGUGGCAAGCGUUGUUCGGAUUUACUGGGCGUACAGGGAGCGUAGGCGGUUGGGUAAGCCCUCCGUGAAAUCUCCGGGCCUAACCCGGAAAGGGCGGAGGGGACUGCUCGGCUAGAGGAUGGGAGAGGAGCGCGGAAUUCCCGGUGUAGCGGUGAAAUGCGUAGAUAUCUGGAGGAACACCGGUGGCGAAGGCGGCAUCCUGGACCGGCAUUGACGCUGAGGCGCGAAAGCUAGGGGAGCAAACGGG